rfam:Enhydrobacter aerosaccus strain CGMCC9176 contig_4, whole genome shotgun sequence.
UAUAACAAAUCUGGAGAGUGUAUUGCUUUGCAAUACCACCGAAGGGGAAAAGAUUGACUUGUCUGUCUAUACUAUAAGAAGUAAGAAAUUGAUAAGUCGAUUGAAAAUCUCAGGUAACAGGACAGAUAGGGCUGA